CAUGAAUUAUGUGAAUACACAAAGAAGAAGGAUUUUCUGCGGGCUUUGAUGCUCACUUCAAUAUUGAACAUAUGAAAAUAACUUCGGUUGAAUUGUUUCAGAUGUAUGAUGAUCACAGAAAGAAAGGAAUACUUGUGCCUACUGAAAAAGAGUUUCGAGACUAUUAUGCUCUCCUUAAAUUGGAUAAGCAUCCUGGUUAUAAAAGCAAUUCCUUAAUCUCGCUAAGAUGACUCUAGAGACAAGGUAGACUCCAGAAGUUCUACUUGCCUGCGAUGUAGCAAGGUUUGUAAUUUCAAAUGGAAAUUAAAUUAGCUACUUUUUU